UUCGCAUCAACAGCUACCGUGCGUAAUUGUUCAUUUGAAAGAUGUGGGCAUGACGUCAUUAAUUAAUCUGACACUUUUUUGCGGACAAUAAAAUGUCAUAAAGGCCUUGUCAAGAAUGAGAAGUUGACGUAAUUCACUCUCGACAGUCAAGACUAAUUUGGUGCAACCGAUACCGUUUUGUAUAAGCAACGUGUUAGUCUGUGAAUGUAACUCGAGGUACACAAUUACAAGUCACAUGUUAGAAAAUUUUGUAUUUGUGAAAAAUGUGUUGAUAUUGUCGAAGAUUUGUAUAUUCUAAUUAACAAACACUAUUUAUUCCUUUCACAUCCAGGUUGACAACUUAUUGUUAAAAAAAAAGUCGCCUUACGAAAGAUUUCCAUCACGUGUACUAUAUAUACUAAUUCUAAGGCAUUCGUCUUCCACUCCUGAUUCGUUCUGAGGCAUACAGAGAACACGGACGUGCGAAAUACAGAAAACGGUUACAGCCAACAAGCAAAUCAAACGAAACCUGACGACAUUAUCUGGAAAAAAAAGGAAAAAACUUCCAGCAUACUAAGGUUUUGAGCAGUGGUGCCUGCUUUUUUACGAAUCAGAAGUGCUACUCGUGCAUCAAAACUGCUCUUCGGAUUUUUCUUGUAUUUGUAUUGCAGAAUGUACUCUACAAUGAGACCGUUUGCCAUGCUUAUUUUGGUCAUCGCCGUAUGUUCAGUACCAACGGCGUCAUCCUCUGACGACGAAAAGUUCCCCGGGAAAGAAGACUGGGUUCGAGCUGGGAUCUCGAAGCGCUUGGCUGAGGAUCUCGUUACAGCAGUUCAUGCAGCGCCGAUGACUUGUCUCCCCAGUUCCCGUUUCCGGCUGUUGUUGGAUAACCUUAUACAAAAUGAACUGAUCAGGUUGCAAAAUUGUGCUGACACAUUUCAGGAACAAGACCAAACAUACGAAAAUAUAGUUAAAAUGUGAAAGUGACGUGAUUUUACACCUGCUAUUACAAGAUGGGAGUAAACGUAGAAGAAUGUACAUACAAGACGAUAUAAACUACAGUCACAGAUAAUAAUUUAUACAGAUACUCUAAGACAGCAGUCACUACUGAAUUACAUGUUUUCAUCAAAGCUAUGUCUCAUCAAGAACAAUGUGUGACAGAUAUACUGAAACACUACAAACUGAUUGUAAAACUACAAUAAAACAUGCAAGUUAAUGUCUAAAACUUUUAGGCACUAUAUUAAAUAGAAGCUACAUACUAAAGCUGUUAGACGAUACAAACAGAAGUCUUCAGAAGCUUUAGAAGUGGAAGAGCUAUACAUACAGAGAUCAUAAAACCUUGUGUAGGACAAAAAAAUAUGAAACUACAAUCGGCAGAGUUUCAGAUGCCACGUACCUACUGAGGGCGUGAAUAGCUAUGUUUCAAACUCUUUAUACAUCGAAUACAAAAUACAGUUGAGUCUCGGUAUCUGGAACAUUCAGCGACUGAGCAUUUUAUUCAAGAUAACCGAUUUGAUUUAAAAAAUUGAUACUGUUUAUCGUAAAAGCACAUUUAUGUAUCCCCAUACUACUUCAUAUAAAUAGAAAAUAAAAAUUGAUACAAAAUAUCACAAUGAAUUCAAUACCUAUUCUACUUCCUUGAACCAGUGCAGACAGUACCUACACUCCUUCCUUGAACCUUGUAGUCAGUCACUAUAGUACUUCCUUGAACCAAUGUUUAUGAACGCAAAGAAACAUGAGGUUUCAAUUCAAUAUUUGCAUUAAUAUUUGAGAUAGUAACUUGCAUGCAAAACCUUAACCAGGAUUUUCCCAGUCCAGAAAGGGGCAUAAUUUGGCCAAAAUAA